ACGGGAGGCAGCAGUGGGGAAUAUUGGGCAAUGGGCGAAAGCCUGACCCAGCGACGCCGCGUGAGGGAAGACGAUCCUCGGAUUGUAAACCUCUUUUAUAAGGGACGAUAGUGACGGUACCUUAUGAAUAAGCCACGGCUAACUACGUGCCAGCAGCCGCGGUAAUACGUAGGUGGCGAGCGUUAUCCGGAUUUACUGGGUGUAAAGGGUGUGUAGGCGGGACUGCAAGUCAGAUGUGAAAAUCAUGGGCUCAACUCAUGACCUGCAUUUGAAACUGUGGUUCUUGAGGGUCGGAGAGGUAACUGGAAUUCCUGGUGUAGCGGUGAAAUGCGUAGAUAUCAGGAGGAACACCGGUGGCGAAGGCGGGUUACUGGACGAUUACUGACGCUGAGACACGAAAGCGUGGGGAGCAAACAGGAUUAGAUACCCUGGUA
rnacentral:rRNA from 1 species